rnacentral:rRNA from 2 species
GACCUCAAAUCAGGUAGGAUUACCCGCUGAACUUAAGCAUAUCA